GAAUUUUGGACAAUGGGCGAAAGCCUGCUCCAGCAAUGCCGCGUGCAGGAUGAAGGCCUUCGGGUUGUAAACUGCUUUUGUACGGAACGAAAAGCUUUGGGUUAAUACCUUGGAGUCAUGACGGUACCGUAAGAACAAGCACCGGCUAACUACGUGCCAACAGCCGCGGUAAUCCGUAGGGUGCAAGCGUUAAUAGGAAUUACGGGGCGUAGAGCGUACGCAGGCGGUUUUGUAAGGCAGAGGUGAAAUCCCCGGGCUCAACCUGGGAACUGCCUUCGUGACUGCAAGGCUAGAGUACGGCAGAGGGGGGUGGAAUUCCGCGUGUAGCAGUGAAAUGCGUAGAUAUGCGGAGGAACACCGAUGGCGAAGGCAACCCCCUGGGCCUGUACUGAAGCUCAUGCACGAAAGCGUGGGGAGCAAACA
rnacentral:rRNA from 1 species